AUACCCUAGUAGUCCUAGCCGUAAACGAUGGAUACUAAGUGCUGUGCGUAUCGACCCGCGCAGUGCUGUAGCUAAUGUGUUUAGUAUCCCCCCUGUGAAGUACGUUCGCAAGAAUGAAACUCAAAGGAAUUGACAGGGGCCCCCACAAGUGGUGGAGCAUGUGGUUCAAUUCGAUGCAAAGUGAAGAACCUUACCACGGCUUGACAUGCCUUGAAUCCUCCCGAAAGAGAGGAGUGCCUUCGGGAAUGCAGACACAGGUGGUGCAUGGCUGUCGUCAGCUCAUGCCGUAAGGUGUUGGGUAGAGUCCCACAACGAGCGCAACCCUCAUGUUUAGUUGCCAACAUUUAGUUUGGAACCCUGAACAGACUGCCGGUGAUAAGCCGGAGGAAGGUGAGGAUGACAUCAAGUCAUCAUGCCCCUUAUGCCCUGCGUGACACAAGUGCUACAAUGACCGGGACAAAGGGUCGCGACCCCGCGAGGGCAAGCUAACCUCAGAAACCCGGCCUCAGUUUGGAUUGCAGGCUGCAACUCACCUGCAUGAAGCCAUAAUCGCUGGUAAUCGCAGGUCAGCCAUACGGCGGUGAAUCCAUUCCCGGGCCUUGUACACACCGCCCAUCACACUAUGGGAGCUGGCCAUGCCCCAAGUCAUUACCUUAACCACAAGGAGGGGGAUGUCGAAG
rnacentral:rRNA from 1 species